rnacentral:tRNA from 2 species
GAUAGCUCAGCGGUAGAGCACUCGGCUGUUAACCGAUAGGUCGUAGGUUCGAAUCCUACUC